rnacentral:lncRNA from 1 species
CUCGCCUUUUUUGUUCUGUUGAUAUGGAUUCCUGAUCCAUUAUCUCUUUUUAAUUUGUUGCAGAACAUGUGCUUUUGUCAAUGGCUGAGGAGUAGCAUGCUCCAUUGUAUGCAUUUUCUAACAUAAAAGAUGCGAUCUGGCUGAGGAACUUGACAGGAAUAACUAAUUAACUACAGGGUCCAACUGCUGGAUGGAACCUUCAACGACAGGAGUUGAUCCGAAUAAAAGGUAUCGUGGAAUGAUUACCCCUUAUGUUUCUAUCUUUGUAUAAAGUUUUAUGUGUUUCUACUGUUCAUACUAAUUCGCUUGAUGUGGUUCAAUCCUAAAAAUAUUGGGGAAUGUGUUUAUUGCUACAUAUAUUUAAUCUCUUACACAUAAUAUGCCGAGAAACGACUCUCUCGGAGGGCUAUUAUCAUGCCUUGAAGAUGUCAUGAGUGCAGUUUCAUAACCAUACUGAAUUCUGAAUAAUUAUACUAUUCCUUAUAUAUAUGCUUCAGGAGAAAUUCUACAUUCAUGCUAUCAACUAUAUACUCAGAGUUCAGGGGUCACUGAUGUAGCCCAAUGUGGCAAUAUAUACAUGUAUAUCUGUCAUUUUUUAUUUGCAAACUACAAGAUGCAUCAUACAUGGUUUUAUGAAACUUUCGUAAUUUGCUUUAAGGCAUACUUUGUAAAGGUUAUUACAAACCAAUGAUCUGUGCAUGACGCUAGCAAUACAAAAGCAGACUCGACUUGAUCUAGAGCCAUAGCACCGUUAAAAAAAACUUGGUCCCUAGCAUGGGAAACAAAAAGCAUGUAAUGUGAUUGUAACCACGUGGGUAGAGUAGCAACAUAAUUUUAGCUAUAAAUUUAUAUUUUUAGUAUCAUAGGACAUGUCAAAUGCAUCUUUGUUUGAGUUUAUGUACGUCAAUGUUUAUCCGCACAAUUUUUUUCUUUAUGCUCCAAAUUGCUGAUAAUACCGUGUGAUGGCAAAAGUGGUAAGAUAGUUAGAAUAUGCAAAGUUUGAAAACAUUUGCUAUGAAUGAAACUUCGGUCCUCUCUAGAACUAUUUCUGAUUGUUCCAUCUUUUUUACAACCAAAGUGUAUGCUACCAAUUUUCUCAGCAAAGCGCACCCCAAAUGUGACUGGAAUCUUAAGACCGUGAUUAUUUAUGUUGACGUCCUUUUGUUCACUAUGAUUUGGUAUUAGUGUUGAUGUUAUUUUGUGUCUUUGGAUUCACAGCAAUGCAGUGAGCUAUAAUUCAGAGGUCAAGCUAUGAUGCUUUGUGCGUUUCUAGAAUGGACUGUACUGGCAUAGCUGCACAGGUCUGGUACGCUUCAUGAUGGCUGAUAAAUAGUAAAUUCCAAUGCAGAGAAUGCAUGUACUAUCUUACAUGGCACCAAAAUAUGUUCUUGAUAUUGCUUGCAUCCUCAUAUUAUUGACCUAAGUUUAAGUUAACAUCUACUCAGACAUUAUGUUGAUUAUUAUUGAUUGUUACCUGAGUGGUAUUUUGUAAUUAUUUGUACUGUAGCAAAUUUA